UCCCCCUCUGCCCUCUCUGUGACCCCCCCCCCCAUUCCCCACCUUCGUUUCCUGGUCAUACUUCUCUCCAGCUAGAAGAGAAAUUCACUCCCUGACUGCUUCAUGGACAACCAACACUACCUACACCAGCCAAUGAGAAGUAGUCCUUGGGCUUUGCCAGAAGAUGGUCAGCAGGCGCCCAGGGUCCAACCUGGACACAAAGCCCUUUCCUACUGGGAAUCCCAACCAGGCGCCUGGAGCUCGGGAGGACUGGGUCCCAGGAUGCAACAUGGACGGGCAUGCUGGGGAGGCACUCUGCACCCCCAGAGUUUCCAUGUGGUGUCAGUUGAGUCUACUGAACCUGAGGCUGUCCAGGGCUGACUACAACCCAGCAGCUCACUGGGCGGCUGCUGGAUGAACCACCAUUGUCUGACUCGUGUUCAUUUUGUUCCCACGUGUGUGUGUGCAUCCAUCCUUCACCGCUCCUCCUUAUUC